rnacentral:rRNA from 1 species
AGGAAAGCAGGGGAUCGCCAGACCUUGCUCUUUUGGAGCGGCCGAUGUCUGAUUAGCUAGUUGGUGAGGUAAAGGCUUACCAAGGCUUCGAUCAGUAGCUGGUCUGAGAGGACGACCAGCCACACUGGGACUGAGACACGGCCCAGACUCCUACGGGAGGCAGCAGUGGGGAAUUUUGGACAAUGGGGGAAACCCUGAUCCAGCCAUGCCGCGUGAGUGAAGAAGGCCUUCGGGUUGUAAAGCUCUUUCAGCCGGAACGAAACGGUCACGGCUAAUACCUGUGAUCACUGACGGUACCGGAAGAAGAAGCACCGGCUAACUACGUGCCAGCAGCCGCGGUAAUACGUAUGGUGCGAGCGUUAAUCGGAAUCACUGGGCGUAAAGCGUGCCCACGCGGUCUUGUAACUCACAUGUGAAAUCCCCGGGCUCAACCUGGCUACUGCGUAUGAAACUACAAAGUC